GUCACCUUCAGCUCGGUCAGAGGAGGCACCGUCCCACUGGUGAAGUACCUGAAGGCCGGGCUGGGCGACUGCAUGGCAUUCAAAAAUACCUGGUUCAACAACGACCCUCGUAAAUUGUCCAUUCUUCAAAACAACCUUUCACCUUUACAAUGUCCUCUGUGUCCUGGGCUGCGUUCUGGAAGACAUGACUGCAAUGCUGCAGGAGAACGGCCAAGCUCUCGCACGCCCCUUCGAUGGCGAACUUACUGGCGCAGUAGACCUCGUUAAAUGGAAGGCCUGUGGAACAAGUUUGAUUCAGAACGACCAAUGCGGGAAAUUCAGAUCGGUCCUCACCGUGAAGGCCUCCAACGCUGCCAGUGACCAUGAUACGACCGCCGCGCUGAGCCUUCAUCCCGGGCAGAAAGGCCUUGAUGGUCAGGAUGGUGCCCAGAAGGUUGACUUCCAGAAUUUGCUUCAUGGAGUCCAAAGAGUGAGCCUCCAGGGGACCCAUCAAACCCACACCGGCAUUACAGACUGAAAAAAAAAAAAAAAAAAACCAAUUAGGUGAGUUUACAUUUGAUUCCUCAAUUUUGAGCUUCCACGCGAGGACGCACCAAGAAUGUCCACUCGCUUCUCGGCCACCUUGUCCCUGGCGUCCAGGAUGGACUGGCGGUCUGUGACGUCCAUCUGAAGAAUGUCCAGCGUGUCCUUGUGCAGGCCUUUGACGCUCUCCAGAAGACGCUCCUUCUUGGCCAGGUUCCUCAUGGUGGCGUACACUUGGACACAAUUUAGAGACCUCAAUCAACUUAACAUGCAUGUUUCGUGGAUUGUUACAGAAAAAACACGAGAGCACGAAAAGCCAGAUUCCGAGAUUUGAAACCUUUAACCUUUAUGCUCCGUAAAAGAAAA